UGGACCUGAUAUCAAACAAGA
rnacentral:rRNA from 1 species